rnacentral:rRNA from 1 species
AUUGAACGCUGGCGGCAGGCCUAACACAUGCAAGUCGAGCGGAUGACGGGAGCUUGCUCCUUGAUUCAGCGGCGGACGGGUGAAUAAUGCCUAGGAAUCUGCCUGGUAGUGGGGGACAACGUUUCGAAAGGAACGCUAAUACCGCAUACGUCCUACGGGAGAAAGCAGGGGACCUUCGGGCCUCGCGCUAUCAGAUGAGCCUAGGUCGGAUUAGCUAGUUGGUGGGGUAAUGGCUCACCAAGGCGACGAUCCGUAACUGGUCUGAGAGGAUGAUCAGUCACACUGGAACUGAGACACGGUCCAGACUCCUACGGGAGGCAGCAGUGGGGAAUAUUGGACAAUGGGCGAAAGCCUGAUCCAGCCAUGCCGCGUGUGUGAAGAAGGUCUUCGGAUUGUAAAGCACUUUAAGUUGGGAGGAAGGGCAGUAAGUUAAUACCUUGCUGUUUUGACGUUACCGACAGAAUAAGCACCGGCUAACUCUGUGCCAGCAGCCGCGGUAA